GUGUGUUAGUGUGUGAGUAUACAGUGUGUGUGUUAGUGUGUGAGUAUACAGUGUGUGUGUUAGUGUGUGAGUAUACAGUGUGUGUGAGUAUACAGUGUGUGUUAGUGUGUGAGUAUACAGUGUGUGUGUUAGUGUGUGAGUAUACAGUGUGUGUUAGUGGUGAGUAUACAGUGUGUGUGAGUGUGUGAGUAUACAGUGUGUGUGUUAGUGGGUGAGUAUACAGUGUGUGUGUUAGUGGGUGAGUAUACAGUGUGUGUGAGUGUGUGAGUAUACAGUGUGUGUGUGAGUGUGUGAGUAUACAGUGUGUGUUAGUGGGUGAGUAUACAUGGUGUGUGUUAGUGGGUGAGUAUACAGUGUGUGUGUUAGUGUGUGAGUAUACAGUGUGUGUGUUAGUGUGUGAGUAUACAGUGUGUGUGUUAGUGGGUGAGUAUACAGUGUGUGUGUUAGUGUGUGGUAUAACAGUGUGUGUGUUAGUGUGUGAGUAUACAGUGUGUGUUAGUGGGUGAGUAUACAGUGUGUGUGAGUGUGUGAGUAUACAGUGUGUGUGUUAGUGGGUGAGUAUACAGUGUGUGUGUUAGUGGGUGAGUAUACAGUGUGUGUGAGUGUGUGAGUAUACAGUGU
ensembl:lncRNA